UACGUAGGGUGCAAGCGUUGUCCGGAAUCAUUGGGCGUAAAGCGCGCGUAGGUGGCUUCGUAAGUCCGUUGUGAAAGUCAAAGGCUCAACCUUUGAAUGCCGAUGGAUACUGCGAAGCUAGAGUACGGAAGAGGCGAGUGGAAUUCCUGGUGUAGCGGUGGAAUGCGCAGAUAUCAGGAGGAGCACCAAUAGCGAAGGCAGCUCGCUGGGACGUUACUGACACUAAGGCGCGAAAGCGUGGGGAGCGAACAGG
rnacentral:rRNA from 1 species